GUAGGUGUCAAUGUGAUGGGAGUUCUCUUGGUAUUUGUAGUAUGAAGGUAGGUGGCAAUGUGAUGAAGUUUCUCUUGGUGUUUGUAGUAUGAAGGUAGGUGUCAAUGUGAUGGGAGUUCUCUUGGUAUUUGUAGUAUGAAGGUAGGUGGCAAUGUGAUGAAGUUUCUCUUGGUGUUUGUAGUAUGAAGGUAGGUUUCAAUGUGAUGGAACUUCUCUUGGUGUUUGUAGUAUGAAGGUAGGUGUCAAUGUGAUGGGAGUUCUCUUGGUGUUUGUAGUAUGAAGGUAGGUGUCAAUGUGAUGGGAAUUCUCUUGGUGUUUGUAGUAUGAAGGUAGGUGUCAAUGUGAUGGGAAUUCUCUUGGUGUUUGUAGUAUGAAGGUAGGUGUCAAUGUGAUGGG